CGACUUAGCUCAGUUGGUAGAGCAAUUGACUUGUAAUCAGUAGGUCGAGGGUUCGAAUCCCUCAGUCG
rnacentral:tRNA from 1 species